UGAGGCCAUUCCCUCUAGUCCUAUCACUGGUUACCUGUGAGAAGAGGCCGACCCCCAGCUCCCCACUCCUUCCUUUCAGGAAUGCAGUGCAAUGGCAGAACAUUGUCCUCUUGUUUCCAUUUGCCUUUUUCUCUAACAGUGCAAAACCACCCGUUUCCUUAGUAUUUAUCUAGGAAAUAAUUCUUUGUAAAACCUCCAUCAACUUCCCUUGUGGUCUCCACAGAGCUGUGGAUGCUAUAAACUAUGUUAACCAAAUUCUACUAUUUCAUUAUUUAGCUGUGUAUUAACCCAGAAGCCACAGAAAAGAAGGCCAAAGUAGGCCCUGGGGGCUGACCUAGUGCAUCUCGAGGUGAGAUGACCUGUACUUAUGUCACUCCUGGCAGGUAUUUCCCCAACCUAGCCUGAAAGGAGACUUUGAGCCCUCGAGUCCUCGCUAUAUGGGGAGUGCCAGCAGGGAAGGGUUGGGGCUGUCUGUGUAGAGCUCUGUGGUGUGCUGACAAAUGCACUCAUUUCCCCUUCCUCUGGGCCACCAGCCCCUGCAGCCCAGGUGUAGCUAAGACAUGCAAUAGCUCAGUCGCCUGAUGGUUUUUGCACUGUUUUUUUGCAUUGGGCAUUGUACUGGGAUGUGGUGCCACUGGGCUUAUGCUUCCCCACCCACCCCACUUUUUGUAUCGAGGCUUACAAAUGAAAAACUGCUUUUGACAAAGCGUUGUCUCUAACUAUGUCCCUGCCUUUUUCAUUUGGGCUGUGGAAAGAGAUCCCACCUGGGCUGGGCUGGGCUCAUCUCCUCCCCGGCAGAUGCUCCUCUCCUGUUGUCUGCCAUUUAAAAAUCUUGGCAAGCGUUUCUUUGAGGAGUCAAAUAAUAAAGCUGCUUCGGUCUCUCCCUGUGAUAGCAGUUCCUUUUUAUGCAAAGUUUUCAAAAGGUUCACUUCUCUUUUUCUACAGUGUGGUUUACCCUAAAACCUGGUUGAUCUCCGAGAGCUCCUUUCAGCAAGCCACAGACAGCUCUUGCAAGCCUGCAAAAGCCUCCUACUUGUUUUCUGAGGCACAAUGCAACUCAUUCUGUUAAAAGAAAAAAAGAGGAUACGUGGAGGCUGCUUUGCCAGAGUCCACCAAAAGGGACCUGACCCCACGGACAGGAGCUGACAGCACAGUGAACUAGCAAAUAAGUGCUCUGAUUGUAAUGCUCAUGAGGAAGGUAAAUCCCAGAGAAGCGUAUGAGGAGUGAAUGCUGAUUUGUGAAGGGGAUACGCACACAGAAAACCCAGGGCCAGUGAUCACUCUGCUCUACCCAGAAAUUGUGAAUGCCUCCAUGUAAACAUCAUAGAUGCACAGCACUCCUAUUUACUGAGGAGGGAGAAGGUUUGGAGCUGCCACCAUCAAGCACCUCCUCUUCUGAUAUCUCGUCAUGAGACUGCUUUUUCAGCUCACAUUGCUGGGAAACACCAGUUCGUCUGUUAAGUGCCUAACACAGGAAAAAUGAAGUAUAAAAUCAUCACAGAGAGGACUGGGAGCAGAAGGUUCCUUGGUAAGAGUUGUUUUUUCAUGAAGAUAUGUUGAAUGCGUUGGCGAGGUGCAACGGAAGGGGCAGGACAUCCAGCCAGGGCUGUUGGGGAGGAUGAGGCAGGGCUGAUGUAGGGCUACCUAAACAUCUGCUGCCAUUCAACUGUGCCAUUAGGCACACAUUUUUCUGACCUGAGGCCAACAUGAUGAACAUACCUGUAAGGACACUGUGGAGGUAUAUGGAUGUCCUUCUUUCCUUCCUCAUUUCAGUGUUGUUAAACACAAAGCAAGCACAGAUUUGUUUUCAGUGUUAAGAUAGUGUCAAGAGAAAUGUAAAGAACAUGCCCUCCUCCAGUGGUCAUUUAAGUUGGCACUGAAAAAACAUCCGGAG